GGUGGAGAGGAGAAAACUCUGUGCUAAAUAUUACUCCUGGAAAAGUGCAUUUGCUUCGGAGAAAUCUUUAUCAUGGGUCUCUAAGAGGAAGGAACAAUAGCAUCUUCUAUGUGCCGAGGUAGCGCAAUAAUGAACUCUGUUCAAGUGGAUCAAAAGCCAUCAAGGUCAAAAUUAGGCACAGGUGUAAAGAGCUUCUGUACAGCAAAAGAAACUACCAUCAGAAUGAACAGGCAACCUACAAAAUGGGAGAAAAUUUUUGCAACCUACUCAUCUGACAAAGGGCUAAU
rnacentral:lncRNA from 1 species